rnacentral:rRNA from 1 species
AUACGUCGUGGGCGAGCGUUGUCCGGAAUGAUUGGGCGUAAAGGGCGCGUAGGCGGCGCGGUAAGUCUGGAGUGAAAGUCCUGCUUUCAAGGUGGGAAUUGCUUUGGAUACUGCCGCGCUUGAGUGCAGGAGAGGUUAUCGGAAUUCCCGGUGUAGCGGUGAAAUGCGUAGAGAUCGGGAGGAACACCAGUGGCGAAGGCGGGUAACUGGACUGCAACUGACGCUGAGGCGCGAAAGUGUGGGGAGCAAACAGGAUUAGAUACCCUGGUAGUCCACACUGUGAACGAUGAAUGCUAGGUGUAAGAGGUAUCGACCCCUUUUGUGCCGGAGUCAACACAAUAAGCAUUCCGCCUGGGGAGUACGGCCGCAAGGUUGAAACUCAAAUGAAUUGACGGGG